UAGGUAUAGAAGUCAGACGUAAGAUGGGGAAAAUACCAGCUUCAGAGGAGACCGAACCUGGAGAGACAGAUGUGGUGCAGGCAUGUGGCCACGCUGGACCUUCUAACCUUGAUUGGUGAAGUACAUAGGUCUGUCCUCCCAGUUGUUGGAAUCACAGGCCUCCCUGACAGGGGCAAAGUGGUUUCUCCUGAUAGUGGAGAGGGCAUCUGUAACUGGAAGAUACGUUGCUCUAAUGGAGAGCUCCAAAAGUUGAGCAGGGUAUCAUAAAACUCCUUUUCCCAAAUUCCCCAAUCCAAAAAGAAGAGUAAGAGAAUGAGCAAAGAAUGCACUUACUAGACAGUAUAAAUUUCUUUCUCCCUAAGACAAAGGCUUCUUCAGAACAAAGGAUAAAGGUUUAAAUCACCCCGCCAGAGGAAAAUCUUCACCAGCUGAAGGUGGCCGAAGGUAAGGAAAAUAGGGAAUCAAUGGUGAAGGAGAAAGUAUCAAUUAUAGUUUAGAACAAGUUGCUGAAAAUGAAAACUCUGGUCUCUCUAUUAUCCUUAAUGUGUUUCCUCUUCCUUUUCUUUCUUUUUCUAGUACAUCUA
rnacentral:lncRNA from 10 species